rnacentral:rRNA from 2 species
AAGGACUGGUGGAGUGCUUAGAAGUGAGAAUGCCGGUAUGAGUAGCGAAAGACGGGUGAGAAUCCCGUCCACCGAAUGCCUAAGGUUUCCUGAGGAAGGCUCGUCCGCUCAGGGUUAGUCAGGACCUAAGCCGAGGCCGACAGGCGUAGGCGAUGGACAACAGGUUGAUAUUCCUGUACCACCUCUUUAUCGUUUGAGCAAUGGAGGGACGCAGAAGGAUAGAAGAAGCGUGCGAUUGGUUGUGCACGUCCAAGCAGUUAGGCUGAUAAGUAGGCAAAUCCGCUUAUCAUAAAGGCUGAGCUGUGAUGGGGAAGCUCCUUAUGGAGCGAAGUCUUUGAUUCCCCGCUGCCAAGAAAAGCUUCUAGCGAGAUAAAAGGUGCCUGUACCGCAAACCGACACAGGUAGGCGAGGAGAGAAUCCUAAGGUGUGCGAGAGAACUCUGGUUAAGGAACUCGGCAAAAUGACCCCGUAACUUCGGGAGAAGGGGUGCUUUCUUAACGGAAAGCCGCAGUGAAUAGGCCCAAGCGACUGUUUAGCAAAAACACAGCUCUCUGCGAAGCCGUAAGGCGAAGUAUAGGGGGUGACACCUGCCCGGUGCUGGAAGGUUAAGGAGAGGGGUUAGCGUAAGCGAAGCUCUGAACUGAAGCCCCAGUAAACGGCGGCCGUAACUAUAACGGUCCUAAGGUAGCGAAAUUCCUUGUCGGGUAAGUUCCGACCCGCACGAAAGGUGUAACGAUUUGGGCACUGUCUCAACCAGAGACUCGGUGAAAUUAUAGUACCUGUGAAGAUGCAGGUUACCCGCGACAGGACGGAAAGACCCCGUGGAGCUUUACUGUAGCCUGAUAUUGAAUUUUGGUACAGUUUGUACAGGAUAGGCGGGAGCCAUUGAAACCGGAGCGCUAGCUUCGGUGGAGGCGCUGGUGGGAUACCGCCCUGACUGUAUUGAAAUUCUAACCUACGGGUCUUAUCGACCCGGGAGACAGUGUCAGGUGGGCAGUUUGACUGGGGCGGUCGCCUCCUAAAGUGUAACGGAGGCGCCCAAAGGUUCCCUCAGAAUGGUUGGAAAUCAUUCGUAGAGUGCAAAGGCAUAAGGGAGCUUGACUGCGAGACCUACAAGUCGAGCAGGGACGAAAGUCGGGCUUAGUGAUCCGGUGGUUCCGCAUGGAAGGGCCAUCGCUCAACGGAUAAAAGCUACCCCGGGGAUAACAGGCUUAUCUCCCCCAAGAGUCCACAUCGACGGGGAGGUUUGGCACCUCGAUGUCGGCUCAUCGCAUCCUGGGGCUGUAGUCGGUCCCAAGGGUUGGGCUGUUCGCCCAUUAAAGCGGUACGCGAGCUGGGUUCAGAACGUCGUGAGACAGUUCGGUCCCUAUCCGUCGUGGGCGUAGGAAAUUUGAGAGGAGCUGUCCUUAGUACGAGAGGACCGGGAUGGACGCACCGCUGGUGUACCAGUUGUUCUGCCAAGGGCAUAGCUGGGUAGCUAUGUGCGGAAGGGAUAAGUGCUGAAAGCAUCUAAGCAUGAAGCCCCCCUCAAGAUGAGAUUUCCCAUAGCGUAAGCUAGUAAGAUCCCUGAAAGAUGAUCAGGUUGAUAGGUUCGAGGUGGAAGCAUGGUGACAUGUGGAGCUGACGAAUACUAAUAGAUCGAGGACUUAACCAUAUAA